GACGACUGAUGGGCUCGGCCGAUCCUCCCACCCUUUGUGUACCUACCUCUGUUGCUUUGGCGGGCCGCGGUUCUCCGCGGCCGCCCCCCUCCCCGGGGGGUGGCCAGCGCCCGCCAGAGGACCAUCAAACUCCAGUCAGUAAACGAUGCAGUCUGAAAAACAUUUAAUAAACUAAAACUUUCAACAACGGAUCUCUUGGUUCUGGCAUCGAUGAAGAACGCAGCGAAAUGCGAUAAGUAAUGUGAAUUGCAGAAUUCAGUGAAUCAUCGAAUCUUUGAACGCACAUUGCGCCCUUUGGUAUUCCGAAGGGCAUGCCUGUUCGAGCGUCAUUACAACCCUCAAGCUCUGCUUGGUAUUGGGCACCGUCCUUUGCGGGCGCGCCUCAAAGACCUCGGCGGUGGCGUCUUGCCUCAAGCGUAGUAGAACAUACAUCUCGCUUCGGAGCGCAGGGCGUCGCCCGCCGGACGAACCUUCUGAACUUUUCUCAAGGUUGACCUCGGAUCAGGUAGGGAUACCCGCUGAACUUAAGCAUAUCAAUAAGCGGAGGAAA
rnacentral:sRNA from 1 species